rnacentral:rRNA from 1 species
UUAAGCGACUAAGCGUACACGGUGGAUGCCCUGGCAGUCAGAGGCGAUGAAGGACGUGCUAAUCUGCGAUAAGCGUCGGUAAGGUGAUAUGAACCGUUAUAACCGGCGAUUUCCGAAUGGGGAAACCCAGUGUGUUUCGACACACUAUCAUUAACUGAAUCCAUAGGUUAAUGAGGCGAACCGGGGGAACUGAAACAUCUAAGUACCCCGAGGAAAAGAAAUCAACCGAGAUUCCCCCAGUAGCGGCGAGCGAACGGGGAGGAGCCCAGAGCCUGAAUCAGUGUGUGUGUUAGUGGAAGCGUCUGGAAAGGCGCGCGAUACAGGGUGACAGCCCCGUACACAAAAAUGCACAUGCUGUGAGCUCGAUGAGUAGGGCGGGACACGUGGUAUCCUGUCUGAAUAUGGGGGGACCAUCCUCCAAGGCUAAAUACUCCUGACUGACCGAUAGUGAACCAGUACCGUGAGGGAAAGGCGAAAAGAACCCCGGCGAGGGGAGUGAAAAAGAACCUGAAACCGUGUACGUACAAGCAGUGGGAGCCUCUUUAUGGGGUGACUGCGUACCUUUUGUAUAAUGGGUCAGCGACUUAUAUUCUGUAGCAAGGUUAACCGAAUAGGGGAGCCGAAGGGAAACCGAGUCUUAACUGGGCGUUAAGUUGCAGGGUAUAGACCCGAAACCCGGUGAUCUAGCCAUGGGCAGGUUGAAGGUUGGGUAACACUAACUGGAGGACCGAACCGACUAAUGUUGAAAAAUUAGCGGAUGACUUGUGGCUGGGGGUGAAAGGCCAAUCAAACCGGGAGAUAGCUGGUUCUCCCCGAAAGCUAUUUAGGUAGCGCCUCGUGAAUUCAUCUCCGGGGGUAGAGCACUGUUUCGGCAAGGGGGUCAUCCCGACUUACCAACCCGAUGCAAACUGCGAAUACCGGAGAAUGUUAUCACGGGAGACACACGGCGGGUGCUAACGUCCGUCGUGAAGAGGGAAACAACCCAGACCGCCAGCUAAGGUCCCAAAGUCAUGGUUAAGUGGGAAACGAUGUGGGAAGGCCCAGACAGCCAGGAUGUUGGCUUAGAAGCAGCCAUCAUUUAAAGAAAGCGUAAUAGCUCACUGGUCGAGUCGGCCUGCGCGGAAGAUGUAACGGGGCUAAACCAUGCACCGAAGCUGCGGCAGCGACACUAUGUGUUGUUGGGUAGGGGAGCGUUCUGUAAGCCUGCGAAGGUGUACUGUGAGGUAUGCUGGAGGUAUCAGAAGUGCGAAUGCUGACAUAAGUAACGAUAAAGCGGGUGAAAAGCCCGCUCGCCGGAAGACCAAGGGUUCCUGUCCAACGUUAAUCGGGGCAGGGUGAGUCGACCCCUAAGGCGAGGCCGAAAGGCGUAGUCGAUGGGAAACAGGUUAAUAUUCCUGUACUUGGUGUUACUGCGAAGGGGGGACGGAGAAGGCUAUGUUGGCCGGGCGACGGUUGUCCCGGUUUAAGCGUGUAGGCUGGUUUUCCAGGCAAAUCCGGAAAAUCAAGGCUGAGGCGUGAUGACGAGGCACUACGGUGCUGAAGCAACAAAUGCCCUGCUUCCAGGAAAAGCCUCUAAGCAUCAGGUAACAUCAAAUCGUACCCCAAACCGACACAGGUGGUCAGGUAGAGAAUACCAAGGCGCUUGAGAGAACUCGGGUGAAGGAACUAGGCAAAAUGGUGCCGUAACUUCGGGAGAAGGCACGCUGAUACGUAGGUGAAGUCCCUCGCGGAUGGAGCUGAAAUCAGUCGAAGAUACCAGCUGGCUGCAACUGUUUAUUAAAAACACAGCACUGUGCAAACACGAAAGUGGACGUAUACGGUGUGACGCCUGCCCGGUGCCGGAAGGUUAAUUGAUGGGGUUAGCGGUAACGCGAAGCUCUUGAUCGAAGCCCCGGUAAACGGCGGCCGUAACUAUAACGGUCCUAAGGUAGCGAAAUUCCUUGUCGGGUAAGUUCCGACCUGCACGAAUGGCGUAAUGAUGGCCAGGCUGUCUCCACCCGAGACUCAGUGAAAUUGAACUCGCUGUGAAGAUGCAGUGUACCCGCGGCAAGACGGAAAGACCCCGUGAACCUUUACUAUAGCUUGACACUGAACAUUGAGCCUUGAUGUGUAGGAUAGGUGGGAGGCUUUGAAGUGUGGACGCCAGUCUGCAUGGAGCCGACCUUGAAAUACCACCCUUUAAUGUUUGAUGUUCUAACGUUGGCCCCUGAUCGGGGUUGCGGACAGUGUCUGGUGGGUAGUUUGACUGGGGCGGUCUCCUCCUAAAGAGUAACGGAGGAGCACGAAGGUUGGCUAAUCCUGGUCGGACAUCAGGAGGUUAGUGCAAUGGCAUAAGCCAGCUUGACUGCGAGCGUGACGGCGCGAGCAGGUGCGAAAGCAGGUCAUAGUGAUCCGGUGGUUCUGAAUGGAAGGGCCAUCGCUCAACGGAUAAAAGGUACUCCGGGGAUAACAGGCUGAUACCGCCCAAGAGUUCAUAUCGACGGCGGUGUUUGGCACCUCGAUGUCGGCUCAUCACAUCCUGGGGCUGAAGUAGGUCCCAAGGGUAUGGCUGUUCGCCAUUUAAAGUGGUACGCGAGCUGGGUUUAGAACGUCGUGAGACAGUUCGGUCCCUAUCUGCCGUGGGCGCUGGAGAACUGAGGGGGGCUGCUCCUAGUACGAGAGGACCGGAGUGGACGCAUCACUGGUGUUCGGGUUGUCAUGCCAAUGGCACUGCCCGGUAGCUAAAUGCGGAAGAGAUAAGUGCUGAAAGCAUCUAAGCACGAAACUUGCCCCGAGAUGAGUUCUCCCUGACUCCUUGAGAGUCCUGAAGGAACGUUGAAGACGACGACGUUGAUAGGCCGGGUGUGUAAGCGCAGCGAUGCGUUGAGCUAACCGGUACUAAUGAACCGUGAGGCUUAACCUU